rnacentral:rRNA from 1 species
AGCGGCGGAUGGGUGAGUAACACGUGGGGAACCUGCCCCUAAGUCUGGGAUACCAUUUGGAAACAGGUGCUAAUACCGGAUAAUAAAGCAGAUCGCAUGAUCAGCUUUUGAAAGGCGGCGUAAGCUGUCGCUAAGGGAUGGCCCCGCGGUGCAUUAGCUAGUUGGUAAGGUAACGGCUUACCAAGGCGACGAUGCAUAGCCGAGUUGAGAGACUGAUCGGCCACAUUGGGACUGAGACACGGCCCAAACUCCUACGGGAGGCAGCAGUAGGGAAUCUUCCACAAUGGACGCAAGUCUGAUGGAGCACCGCCGCGUGAGUGAAGAAGGUUUUCGGAUCGUAAAGCUCUGUUGUUGGUGAAGAAGGAUAGAGGUAGUAACUGGCCUUUAUUUGACGGUAAUCAACCAGAAAGUCACGGCCAACUACGUGCCAGCAGCCGCGGUAAUACGUAGGUGGCAAGCGUUGUCCGGAUUUAUUGGGCGUAAAGCGAGCGCAGGCGGAAAAAUAAGUCUAAUGUGAAAGCCCUCGGCUUAACCGAGGAACUGCAUCGGAAACUGGUUUUCUUGAGUGCAGAAGAGGAGAGUGGAACUCCAUGUGUAGCGGUGGAAUGCGUAGAUAUAUGGAAGAACACCAGUGGCGAAGGCGGCUCUCUGGUCUGCAACUGACGCUGAGGCUCGAAAGCAUGGGUAGCGAACAGGAUUAGAUACCCUGGUAGUCCAUGCCGUAAACGAUGAGUGCUAAGUGU